rfam:Ciona savignyi cont_15922, whole genome shotgun sequence.
GUCUCUAUGGCGCAAUUGGUUAGCGCGUUCGGCUGUUAACCGAAAGGUUGCUGGUUCAAGCCCAGCCAGGGACG